UAGGUCUUAGGAAUGAGAAAUUGGAGGUUCUACUAAUUUGGGACUGCAGUGACCAGCAAAUGUAUCUACUUGCCAGAUGUCAAGCUGGAACUCAGAGAAUACACCAUCUUUUGAGAAGAAGGAGCCCUGUGCUGUGACAGAGUAUCGAGAGAAAUUCAGAGAACCUCAGGAGGAAGUGCGAGAGCAAAUGAGGCAAGAACUGGAGUGCUCAAGGGCUGGAAUCAGCUGGCAUCUUUGGCACCCACAGAAACAAACUCCAUUCACUUGGACCCGCUGUGUUUCACCCUUCACGGGAGGAAGCACACAGGUGUGUUAGAAAUGGGGUCUGAAGUACGGCUGCUAACAACUCCCAUGAGCAGAGUGAACAAGCAAGAGACCUGCUGGACCCACUGUGUCCUUUGAACUCUCAGAGCAGUUGGGAAUUGUGGAGGUUCAUUAAAGGAUGGAAACGACCCUGAAAAGCACUCUUGAAUACAGACUGGAAGCAUCUCAGCAUUAUGAA
rnacentral:lncRNA from 10 species